rnacentral:rRNA from 1 species
AGGGUUUGAUCCUGGCUCAGGACGAACGCUGGCGGCAUGCCUAACACAUGCAAGUCGAACGAGAAAGUUCCUUCGGGAGCAAUUAAAGUGGCGCACGGGUGAGUAACGCGUAGACAAUCUGCCCUUCAGUCUGGGACAACUUUUCGAAAGGAGAGCUAAUACCGGAUAACAAUGCAUGACACAAGUUGUAUAUUUGAAAGCUUUAUGUGCUGAAGGAGGGGUCUGCGUCCCAUUAGCUAGUUGGUAGGGUAAAGGCUUACCAAGGCAACGAUGGGUAGCGGGUUUGAGAGGACGAUCCGCCACACUGGAACUGAGACACGGUCCAGACUCCUACGGGAGGCAGCAGUGGGGAAUAUUGCACAAUGGAGGAAACUCUGAUGCAGCAAUGUCGCGUGAGUGAAGAAGGCCCUUGGGUCGUAAAGCUCUUUUAUGGGGGAAGAUGAUGACGGUACCCCAAGAAUAAGCACCGGCUAACUAUGUGCCAGCAGCCGCGGUAAUACAUAGGGUGCGAGCGUUGUUCGGAAUUACUGGGCGUAAAGGGCGCGCAGGCGGAAUAGUAAGUCGGAGGUGAAAGCCCGGGGCUCAACCCCGGAGGGUCUUUCGAAACUACUAAUCUAGAGAGGGUCAGGGGCCGGCAGAAUUCCUGGUGUAGAGGUGAAAUUCGUAGAUAUCAGGAGGAAUACCGGUGG